GAUGAACGCUGGCGGCGUGCCUAAUACAUGCAAGUCGAGCGAACGGACGAGAAGCUUGCUUCUCUGAUGUUAGCGGCGGGCGGGUGAGUAACACGUGGAUAACCUACCUAUAAGACUGGGAUAACUUCGGGAAACCGGAGCUAAUACCGGAUAAUAUUUUGAACCGCAUGGUUCAAAAGUGAAAGACGGUCUUGCUGUCACUUAUAGAUGGAUCCGCGCUGCAUUAGCUAGUUGGUAAGGUAACGGCUUACCAAGGCAACGAUGCAUAGCCGACCUGAGAGGGUGAUCGGCCACACUGGAACUGAGACACGGUCCAGACUCCUACGGGAGGCAGCAGUAGGGAAUCUUCCGCAAUGGGCGAAAGCCUGACGGAGCAACGCCGCGUGAGUGAUGAAGGUCUUCGGAUCGUAAAACUCUGUUAUUAGGGAAGAACAUAUGUGUAAGUAACUGUGCACAUCUUGACGGUACCUAAUCAGAAAGCCCCGGCUAACUACGUG
rnacentral:rRNA from 1 species